rnacentral:rRNA from 1 species
GACGAACGCUGGCGGCGUGCCUAAUACUUGCAAGUCGAGCGAGACUCUUCGGAGUCUAGCGGCGGACGGGUGAGUAACACGUGGGCAACCUGCCUGUAAGACUGGGAUAACACCGGGAAACCGGUGCUAAUACCGGAUAAUCCUUUUCCUCUCAUGAGGAAAAGCUGAAAGUCGGUUUCGGCUGACACUUACAGAUGGGCCCGCGGCGCAUUAGCUAGUUGGGGGGGUAACGGCUCACCAAGGCGACGAUGCGUAGCCGACCUGAGAGGGUGAUCGGCCACACUGGGACUGAGACACGGCCCAGACUCCUACGGGAGGCAGCAGUAGGGAAUCUUCCACAAUGGACGAAAGUCUGAUGGAGCAACGCCGCGUGAGCGAUGAAGGCCUUCGGGUCGUAAAGCUCUGUUGUUAGGGAAGAACAAGUACCGGAGUAACUGCCGGUACCUUGACGGUACCUAACCAGAAAGCCACGGCUAACUACGUGCCAGCCGCCGCUGUAAAAC